UGUCUCUUCUUUUCAGCAAACACAGAAGUGGCAGUGUGGUGCAGAUAGGCGAUGUCGUCUGGGACUGCUCUUGAGCCACGUCCACUCUGCGGCAGCCUCCCACGUGCAGCUGGGUGGCAGAGCAUGGAGUGCUCUGUUUUCCUGCACAGGAAUGGGGGUUUGCAAGUGACCUUAGAGACCACUGGAGCCAUGCCUUGAGAUGAGCUUACUGGGGCCAUAUGUGUCUUUGCCUGUUGAAUGCCUUGAUGCCAGUAAAACAAAACUGUGCAUGAAAAAUGUGGGGCCAAAUAAUCCAGUGGUCUCCCAGCCUUGCAGAGCCUCAGCAGGACAGCAAAGUGAGCAUCCCACCUGCUAGGAGCUUCAGG